AUUGAACGCUGGCGGCAGGCUUAACACAUGCAAGUCGAGCGAGCGGCGGACGGGUGAGUACUGUCUGGGAAACUGCCUGAUGGAGGGGGAUCACAACCGGAAACGGUAGAUAAUACCGCAUACCAUCCGAUGAGCUCAGAUGGGAUUAGCUAGUAGGUGGGGUAAUGGCGCACGUAGGCGACGAUCCCUAGCUGGACUGAGAGGAUGACUAGCCACACUGGAACUGAGACACGGUACAGGGUCCGUCGGAAGGCAGCAGUAGGGAAUAUUGCACAAUGGGCGCAAACCUGAGGCAGCCAUGCCGCGUGUGUGAAGAAGGCCUUCGGGUUGUAAAGCACUUUCAGCGAGGAGGCGUUACUCGCAGAAGAAGCACCGGCUAACUCCGUGCCAGCAGCCGCGGUAAUUC
rnacentral:rRNA from 1 species